rnacentral:rRNA from 1 species
UUGGAGGGCAAGUCUGGUGCCAGCAGCCGCGGUAAUUCCAGCUCCAAUAGCGUAUAUUAAAGUUGUUGCAGUUAAAAAGCUCGUAGUUGAAUUUCGGGAUCAAAUUGUCGGUCGUGCCUCGGUACGCACUGGUAUUAUUGGUUCCUACCUUCUGAAGAACCGCGAUGUCGUUAAUUUGGUGUCGUGGGGAAUCAGGACUGUUACUUUGAAAAAAUUAGAGUGUUUAAAGCAGGCUUACGCUUGAAUACAUUAGCAUGGAAUAAUGAAAUAGGACGUUUGAUUCUAUUUUGUUGGUUUCUAGGAUUGACGUAAUGAUUAAUAGGGAUAGUUGGGGGCAUUAGUAUUCAAUUGUCAGAGGUGAAAUUCUUGGAUUUAUUGAAGACUAACUACUGCGAAAGCAUUUGCCAAGGAUGUUUUCAUUAAUCAAGAACGAAAGUUAGGGGAUCGAAGACGAUCAGAUACCGUCGUAGUCUUAACCAUAAACUAUGCCGACUAGGGAUCGGAUGAUGUUAAUUUUUUAAUGACUCAUUCGGCGCCUUACGGGAAAC